GCCUGGCUGGCUCAGUCAGUAGCGCAUGCGACUCUUGAUCUCAGGGUCGUGAGUUCAAGGCCCACGUUGGGCG
rnacentral:tRNA from 1 species